rnacentral:rRNA from 1 species
UACGUAGGGACCAAGCGUUGUUCGGAUUUACUGGGCGUAAAGGGCGCGUAGGCGGCGUGACAAGUCACUUGUGAAAUCUCUGAGCUUAACUCAGAACGGCCAAGUGAAACUGUUGUGCUAGAGUGCAGAAGGGGCAAUCGGAAUUCUUGGUGUAGCGGUGAAAUGCGCAGAUAUCAGGAGGAACACCGAUGGCGAAGGCAGGUCUCUGGGCCAUAACUGACGCUGAGAAGCGAAAGCAUGGGGAGCGAACAGG